GCGGAUGUGGUGUAGUUGGUUAACACGCAAGCCUGUGGAGCUUGAAAUCGCGGGUUCGAGUCCCGCCAUUCGCU
rnacentral:tRNA from 1 species